ACCGAGUACAAGAUUGACAAGAAAAAGAAGAUGGAGAAAUAAUAUGAAUAGUUCGAGAAAUUAUAUGCGAAGUCUGUUAAGCCCAUCAUCUUCAUGCCUUCUCUGAUCUUAUUUUCUUUCUCUU
rnacentral:ribozyme from 1 species